GAUGAACGCUGGCGGCGUGCCUAAUACAUGCAAGUCGAGCGAACGGACGAGAAGCUUGCUUCUCUGAUGUUAGCGGCGGACGGGUGAGUAACACGUGGAUAACCUACCUAUAAGACUGGGAUAACUUCGGGAAACCGGAGCUAAUACCGGAUAAUAUUUUGAACCGCAUGGUUCAAAAGUGAAAGACGGUCUUGCUGUCACUUAUAGAUGGAUCCGCGCUGCAUUAGCUAGUUGGUAAGGUAACGGCUUACCAAGGCAACGAUGCAUAGCCGACCUGAGAGGGUGAUCGGCCACACUGGAACUGAGACACGGUCCAGACUCCUACGGGAGGCAGCAGUAGGGAAUCUUCCGCAAUGGGCGAAAGCCUGACGGAGCAACGCCGCGUGAGUGAUGAAGGUCUUCGGAUCGUAAAACUCUGUUAUUAGGGAAGAACAUAUGUGUAAGUAACUGUGCACAUCUUGACGGUACCUAAUCAGAAAGCCACGGCUAACUACGUGCCAGCAGCCGCGGUAAUACGUAGGUGGCAAGCGUUAUCCGGAAUUAUUGGGCGUAAAGCGCGCGUAGGCGGUUUUUUAAGUCUGAUGUGAAAGCCCACGGCUCAACCGUGGAGGGUCAUUGGAAACUGGAAAACUUGAGUGCAGAAGAGGAAAGUGGAAUUCCAUGUGUAGCGGUGAAAUGCGCAGAGAUAUGGAGGAACACCAGUGGCGAAGGCGACUUUCUGGUCUGUAACUGACGCUGAUGUGCGAAAGCGUGGGGAUCAAACAGGAUUAGAUACCCUGGUAGUCCACGCCGUAAACGAUGAGUGCUAAGUGUUAGGGGGUUUCCGCCCCUUAGUGCUGCAGCUAACGCAUUAAGCACUCCGCCUGGGGAGUACGACCGCAAGGUUGAAACUCAAAGGAAUUGGCGGGGACCCGCACAAGCGGUGGAGCAUGUGGUUUAAUUCGAAGCAACGCGAAGAACCUUACCAAAUCUUGACAUCCUUUGACAACUCUAGAGAUAGAGCUUUCCCCUUCGGGGGACAAAGUGACAGGUGGUGCAUGGUUGUCGUCAGCUCGUGUCGUGAGAUGUUGGGUUAAGUCCCGCAACGAGCGCAACCCUUAAGCUUAGUUGCCAUCAUUAAGUUGGGCACUCUAAGUUGACUGCCGGUGACAAACCGGAGGAAGGUGGGGAUGACGUCAAAUCAUCAUGCCCCUUAUGAUUUGGGCUACACACGUGCUACAAUGGACAAUACAAAGGGCAGCGAAACCGCGAGGUCAAGCAAAUCCCAUAAAGUUGUUCUCAGUUCGGAUUGUAGUCUGCAACUCGACUACAUGAAGCUGGAAUCGCUAGUAAUCGUAGAUCAGCAUGCUACGGUGAAUACGUUCCCGGGUCU
rnacentral:rRNA from 1 species